rnacentral:rRNA from 1 species
AUGUCUUCCUCCGGUGCUUCCUCGCCUAACCUCAACAAUCAGGUCACAGAGAAGCUGUCACGCACGAGCUACGUGCUGUGGCGCACACAGAUCACACCUCAACUGUGCGGUGCCGGCGUCUUCGGCUACAUCGACGGCACCAACCCGGAGCCGGCCAAGCUCCUCGUCACCACCAAGGAUGGCAAGGAGACUUCAUCGCCCAACCCUCUCCACCCUAUAUGCGUACGGGAGGAUCAGCAGGUCCUUGGCUACCUGCUGAACAACCUCACAAAAGAGUUCCUGGUCACGGUGACCACGGUCACCACGGCGGGCGCGCUCUGGACGAUGCUCGCGGCCAUGUUCUCGUCGCAAUCGGCGAGUCGCAUCAACAACAUCCGCACCUCCCUCAUCAAUGCGCAGAAGGGUAACCUAUCGGUUGCCUCCUACUUCACCGCUAUGCGUGGCUAUGCCGAUGAGCUGGCCGCGGCGGGCAAGCCUAUCCAGGAUGAUGAGCUCAUCUCGUACAUCAACCAUGGGUUGGAGGCGGACUAUCAACCUCUGGUGUCGGCUCUCGACGCCCGUGUUACUCCCGCAACCCUCGACGAGCUCUUCGCCAUGCUGUCAAACUUCGACCAGCGCAUGGCUCAAUUCCAUGGAUCCGGCAGCUUCAAAUCUUCCGCAAACAUGGUGUCACGCGGCCGGGGUGGUGGAUCCCGCUCGCGUGGCUCUCCUCGCUACAAGGGGUGA